AAGGAAUAUUGCUCAAUGGGAGAAAUCCUGAAGCAGCAACGCCGCGUGGAGGAUGAAGGGUCUAUGACUUGUAAACUCCUGUAAAGAAGGGAAAAAUUCCCAUUUGAUGGGAGAUGAUGGUACUUCUGGAGUAAGCCCCGGCUAACUACGUGCCAGCAGCCGCGGUAAUACGUAGGGGGCAAGCGUUGUCCGGAUUUACUGGGUGUAAAGGGUGCUCAGGCGGAUUUGUAAGUCAGAGGUGAAAUCUUACAGCUUAACUGUGAAACUGCCUUUGAUACUGCAAGCCUAGAGUAUGGAAGAGAGUGAUGGAAUAUCUGGUGUAGCAGUGAAAUGCGUAGAUAUCAGAUAGAACACCAAUGGCGAAGGCAGUCACUUGGUCCAUUACUGACGCUAAAGCACGAAAGCGUGGGUAGCAAACA
rnacentral:rRNA from 1 species